rnacentral:rRNA from 1 species
AGAACGAACGCUGGCGGCAUGCUUAACACAUGCAAGUCGAACGAGACCUUCGGGUCUAGUGGCGCACGGGUGCGUAACGCGUGGGAAUCUGCCCUUUGCUACGGAAUAACUCAGAGAAAUUUGUGCUAAUACCGUAUGAUGUCGCAAGACCAAAGAUUUAUCGGCAAAGGAUGAGCCCGCGUAAGAUUAGCUUGUUGGUGAGGUAAAAGCUCACCAAGGCGACGAUCUUUAGCUGGUCUGAGGGGAUGAUCAGCCACA